UUUCCCGGUGGGCAGGUCAAUAAUGGGCCGGUGGCUGCAGUUUUUUUAUUUAUUUAUUUUUUAUUUGUUUAUUUAGUUUUUGCUGCGCCUUGCCAUGGUUACUCUUCCGGUCCAGGGGCAGAGACAUGCACCGGCCCACAGAACUCCGCUGCAGCCUACUACAACAAAAUGGACAAUGCGGCCAAAAAGCGAAAAGGCGGAGUGGAAAAGCAAAGAGAGAGAGAAAAAAGAAAAGCUCUAGCAACCGACGCUGCUACGAGCAAAAAAAAAUUCAGAAAUGUUUGCUGCGGGGGCAAGCGUGGCCGGAGCGGCUUCAGGAGUGGGUCCUUCUCAGCAGCAGGUGUCGGACAGUGAGUCAAGUGAGGCUCCCGCUGCCAUGGUGGUGCACAGUCACGGGCUGACAGGCCCAGAGAGCCCUGACAGAGUUGUCAAUCGAUCACGACACAUACCAUGGUGGGGCGGGACCUCAUGGCAUGGGCGGGAGUCGCGGGACAGGCAGCUGCUGCGCCGGGAGACGUGCGAGUGGAGGCAUACAUGCCUGUACUAAGCAGGGUGGAUCGGCCUCUUUGAGCAGCUCCUGGGUGUAGGCCAUGAGUCCUGCGUGCUCCAGCAGGCCCUGCCUUUCGAAGACCUGCCUGGACAACGCCUUCUCUCUCCUGCUGCGGGAUAGGGUGAUGAAUUAGGUGAGGAGUGGAGCGUGCUGGCUGCGGACGAGGAAGUAGGACAAUACAUACAUGUGCACAUACACGCAUAUGAGAAUGCAUAUCAUUUCAGACCCGUAAUUCAUGGCUUAUACUUUUUCACACAUCUAUAGAUUUUUUUUCAAUUCUCUAUUUAUGGUUUCAUAAUAACUGAGUCACUGUUAAAACAAUUCUUUCCUUCUUCACAUUGCACAGGUGAAGCACUUGACAGCUGCAGACGUUGGCUAGUGCUGUUACAACACCGAGGAGGAGUGGAUUGGGUUUACCAUUAGUCAUGAUAGUUGUGCUUUCAUUCUCCGAUCCCCCACCACACUUUGAUGGAAAAAUAAGAAAAUACAGAUAAAUAUACAAUUGCACACAUAACAUUUUGUGACCAGAGUGUGAUCAUAUUGUUGUCUGAUCCCGCACAGAGCUACAUAUGUGCGGAAAAGAAGUGGAAACAAUAGUUUCUGUUCUUUAACUUCGACCUGAGCGAAAGACGGUGAGAAACUCAUCUAAGAGCCUCUAUCAGGCAUUGCCACCUACAUCCGCCUAGAUUUACCUGGGCCAAAACAUCUCUAAAAUUGUUCAGGUUCACCUUUUCUCAUCAGAUUUUACAUUAAUAAUUCAUAUUUGAAUUGGGCUUUUAUCCUACAUAUCAGAGGUGUUUUUUACUCUAAAUAAUGUGCUGUUGUUUUCUUGUUUUGUUUUGUUUUUAGGUGAGAACUGAAAUUUAUAUUUUUUACUUUGUUCCAGGUGAAUUUUCUCUGACACAGUAACAUAUCUUUAUUCUGACACUAAGCAAUCUCAUUAUGACAUUAUUAUUCAUACAGCCCUUAGAGUUGUGAAGAUAUAACCCAUUUAUUAUUAUAUGUCUGUUUGUGAAUUUAAUAUUCCCCAUGCAUGUGUUCAUGCACUUUAUUUUAUUUUCCUUGCGAUGUUGAGAAAUAAUGUCACAUAUGUUUAUCGUUCACAUCUCAUCUUCUAGUAGAGACUCCCUCUUGUGGAGAAUGUAAGUAUUACCAAUCAAGCAAUUUUCAUAUUCAUAAUACACAGGACGAGAUGUUACAAUCUCUUGUGCCAUGAUCUAAGGCAAAACUCCUUUAGAAGCCCAGUCCAACUGUAGAACCAACCAGCAGACCAGUGGUCAG